rnacentral:rRNA from 1 species
AGAACGAACGCUGGCGGCAUGCCUAAUACAUGCAAGUCGAACGAAGGCUUCGGCCUUAGUGGCGCACGGGUGCGUAACGCGUGGGAAUCUGCCCCUUGGUUCGGAAUAACAGUUGGAAACGACUGCUAAUACCGGAUGAUGACGAAAGUCCAAAGAUUUAUCGCCAAGGGAUGAGCCCGCGUAGGAUUAGCUAGUUGGUGAGGUAAAGGCUCACCAAGGCGACGAUCCUUAGCUGGUCUGAGAGGAUGAUCAGCCACACUGGGACUGAGACACGGCCCAGACUCCUACGGGAGGCAGCAGUAGGGAAUAUUGGACAAUGGGCGAAAGCCUGAUCCAGCAAUGCCGCGUGAGUGAUGAAGGCCUUAGGUUGUAAAGCUCUUUUACCCGAGAUGAUAAUGACAGUAUCGGAGAAUAAGCCCCGGACUAACUCCGUGCCAGCAGCC